AUGACAGCCCCGUGUUGCUGCCUGACCCCCGACCUGGCAGCAGCGCGGGGCUCUCGU
rfam:Rhodococcus erythropolis PR4 DNA, complete genome.